rnacentral:rRNA from 1 species
GACGAACGCUGGCGGCGUGCUUAACACAUGCAAGUCGAACGGAAAGGCCCUGCUUUUGUGGGGUGCUCGAGUGGCGAACGGGUGAGUAACACGUGAGUAACCUGCCCUUGACUUUGGGAUAACUUCAGGAAACUGGGGCUAAUACCGGAUAGGAGCUCCUGCUGCAUGGUGGGGGUUGGAACGUUUCGGCGGUUGGGGAUGGACUCGCGGCUUAUCAGCUUGUUGGUGGGGUAGUGGCUUACCAAGGCUUUGACGGGUAGCCGGCCUGAGAGGGUGAACGGCCACAUUGGGACUAAGAGACGGCCCAGACUCCUACGGGAGGCAGCAGUGGGGAAUAUUGCACAAUGGGAGGAAGCCGGAUGCAGCAACGCCGCGUGCGGGAUGACGGCCUUCGGGUUGUAAACCGCUUUCGCCUGUGACGAAGCGUGAGUGACGGUAAUGGGUAAAGAAGCACCGGCUAACUACGUG